rnacentral:rRNA from 1 species
UCAGGAAUGAACGCUGCGGCGUGCUUAACACAUGCAAGUCGAACGAAGCACUGAAGAAUGGAGAUUCGUCAAAGUUCUCUUGACUGAGUGGCGAACGGGUGAGUAAUGCGUGAGCAACCUGCCCUUCAGAGGGGGACAACAGUUGGAAACGACUGCUAAUACCGCAUGAUGUGUUCGGAUGGCAUCAUCUGAAUACCAAAGGAGAAAUCCGCUGAGGGAUGGGCUCACGUCUGAUUAGCUAGAUGGCAGGGUAACGGCCUACCAUGGCGACGAUCAGUAGCCGGACUGAGAGGUUGAACGGCCACAUUGGGACUGAGAUACGGCCCAGACUCCUACGGGAGGCAGCAGUGGGGAAUAUUGGGCAAUGGGCGAAAAAGCCUGACCCAGCAACGCCGCGUGAAGGAAGAAGGCCUUCGGGUUGUAAACUUCUUUUAACAGGGACGAAGAAGUGACGGUACCUGUUGAAUAAGCCACGGCUAACUACGUGCCAGCAGCAGC